AGUUGAGCGAAGCUUUUUGGUAGUUUACUACUAGAAAUGACCGAGCGGCGAACGGGUGAGUAACGCGUGAGCAAUCUACCUUAGUUACUGGGAUAGCCCGAGGAAACUCGGAUUAAUACCGGAUAUUCUUAUUUUUUCACAUGAAGUUUUAAGGAAAGGUCAGCCGAACUAAGAUGAGCUCGCGUUCUAUCAGCUAGUUGGUGGGGUAAAAGCCUACCAAGGCUACGACGGAUAGCUGGUCUGAGAGGACGAUCAGCCACACUGGGACUGAGACACGGCCCAGACUCCUACGGGAGGCUGCAGCAGGGAAUAUUGUGCAAUGAGCGAAAGCUUGACACAGCGACACCGCGUGUGGGAUGACGGUUCUAGGAUUGUAAACCACUUUCAGGAGGGAAGAAAAUGACGGUACCUCCACAAGAAGACCCGGCCAACUAUGUGCCAGCAGCCGCGGUAAUACAUAGGGGUCAAGCGUUGUCCGGAUUUAUUGGGCGUAAAGAGCUCGUAGGCGGUUCAACAAGUCGGUCGUAAAAGUUUAGGGCUCAACCCUAAAAUGUCGAUCGAUACUGUUGUGACUAGGAUACGGUAGAGGGGAAUGGAAUUCCGAGGGUAGCGGUGAAAUGCGUAGAUAUUCGGAGGAACCCCAAUUGCGAAGGCAGUUCACUGGACCGUGAUCGACGCUGAGGAGCGAAAGCUAGGGGAGCAAACAGGAUUAGAUACCCUGGUAGUCCUAGCUGUAAACGAUGGAUACUAGAUGUAG
rnacentral:rRNA from 1 species